GAGUUUGAUCCUGGCUCAGAACGAACGCUGGCGGCAGGCCUCAAACAUGCAAGUCUAGGGGGUGUAGCAAUACAUCACCGGCGGACGGGUGCGUAACGCGUGGGAAUAUACCUUUUGGUUCGGAACAACUGAGGGAAACUUCAGCUAAUACCGAAUGUGCCCUAACGGGGAAAGAUUUAUCGCCAAAGGAUUAGCCCGCGUAGGAUUAGCUAGUUGGUGAGGUAAUGGCUCACCAAGGCUCCGAUCCUUAGCUGUUCUGAGAGGAAGAUCAGCCACACUGGGACUGAGACACGGCCCAGACUCCUACGGGAGGCAGCAGUUGGGAAUCUUGGACAAUGGGGGAAACCCUGAUCCAGCCAUGCCGCGUGAGUGAUGAAGGCCUUCGGGUUGUAAAACUCUUUCGACGGGGACGAUAAUGACGGUACCCGAAGAAGAAGCUGCGGCUAACUACGUGCCAGCAGCCGCGGUAAUACGUAGGCAGCAAGCGUUGUUCGGAAUUACUGGGCGUAAAGAGUGUGUAGGCGGUGCUCUAAGUCUGUUGUGAAAUCUCCCGGCUUAACUGGGAGGGUGCAGCGGAAACUGGAAUGCUCGAGUAUGGGAGAGGUAAGCGGAAUUCCUGGUGUAGCGGUGAAAUGCGUAGAUAUCAGGAGGAACACCUGUGGUGUAGACAGCUUACUGGACCAUCACUGACGCUGAGACACGAAAGCGUGGGUAGCAAACAGGAUUAGAUACCCUGGUAGUCCACGCCCUAAACGAUGCAUACUUGGUGUGAGUCAUUCAUUUGAUUCGUGCCGGAGCUAACGCGUUAAGUAUGCCGCCUGGGGAGUACGGUCGCAAGGCUGAAACUCAAAGGAAUUGACGGGGGCCUGCACAAGCGGUGGAGCACGUGGUUCAAUUCGACGCAACGCGAAGAACCUUACCUGGGCUCGAACGGCUUAAGACCGCAGUGGAAACAUUGUUUUCUCGCAAGAGACUUGAGUCGAGGUGCUGCAUGGCUGCCGUCAGCUCGUGUCGUGAGAUGUUGGGUUAAGUCCCGCAACGAGCGCAACCCUUGUCCUGUGUUGCCACUCCGUAAGGAAGCACUCGCAGGAGACCGCCAGCGAUAAGCUGGAGGAAGGUGGGGAUGAUGUCAAGUCAUCAUGGCCUUUAUGUCCAGGGCUACACACGUGCUACAAUGGACGGUACAAAGCGCUGCAAACCCGCGAGGGGGAGCUAAUCGCAAAAAACCGUUCUCAGUUCGGAUCGCAGGCUGCAACUCGCCUGCGUGAAGCUGGAAUCGCUAGUAAUGCCGUAUCAGAACGAUGGCGUGAUACGUUCCCGGGCCUUGUACACAC
rnacentral:rRNA from 1 species